rnacentral:tRNA from 1 species
GCCUGUAUGGUAUAGUGGUUAGCAUGUCUGUUUGGCAAAUGGAAAUCUUUUUAAGAUCUUGGGUUCAAUUCCCAGGUCAGCCG